rnacentral:lncRNA from 1 species
AGGGCUGUCUGUGAGAACACUUGUUCUGUGCUCUGGUUCCUGGGCUGUUACAGAAAAGCUGAUGAUGGUAGAUGAGAAACAAUUGAGCAGCUGGACAAUUACUAGAAGAAUGAAGACCUAAAUGACCUCAGCAAAUCCUCCUUUAACUCAUGGGUACCCAGACUCUAAAUAUUUCAUGAUUCACAACCAGGACCUCACAUCUUCCUCCUCAGUAGAUGGUACGAUGCACCCAUUUCAGUUUGUUUACUUUACACAAUCCUCAGGAGUUUGUUGACUGAACUGCACGUUCUAUAUCGUGCCAAGAAAAAAGCACUGUGACACCAGAACAAUGAGUCUGCAUAAACUUCAUCUUCGACCUUAAGGACUUAGCUGGCCACAUGAGCUGAUGUGCCCCCCACCGUGCCACAAGAGAAUGGGUUUACGCUCAUUGCAUUUACAAGACACAUUUCAUCUGCUGCUGAAACCGUGUACGACAGAGCAUCAUUGUAAAUUAUUUCAUACGGAACUGUUUGCUUUGGGUGGAGAGAGUAUUAAAUAUUUAACAUAGGUUUUUGAUUUAUAAGUGUAAUUUUUUUAAUUAAAAUGUAACUUUUCUUACAGCACAUCUUUUUUUGGGAUGUGGAACUGAGGUAUACAAUGUUCUGUUGUAAAGAGUGGAGCAAAUGCUUAAAACAAGGCUAACAAGAGUAGAGUAGGGUACGAUCCUUGUUUUAAGAUUGUAAUUCAGAAAAGUAAUAUAAUAAGAAUCAUAGUGCCAUAGAUGGUUCUCAAUUGUAUAGUUCUAUUUGCUGAUACUAUCUCUUGUAAUAUAGCCCUGAUGUUGAGCUGAGAUCCUUUCAAGAGCUGAUCUUAAUUUCGUAAUUUUUUUUUCCUGUAAGGCAAUAGGCCAUGUUAAUUAAACUGAAGAAGGGUAUAUUCUACUGGGUAUUUUCAAGUGUCAGCUUAAAAUUGGCAAUUGAAUGGAAGCAAAAUUACAAGAAAAGGCAUUCAGUGUCUUCCAUUGUAUAUACUGUAAAGAGGAGGCGACAUGGGUGAUCCCUUGGAAUCAAAAGCUCUCUUUGGAAUGAACAAUGUGGGUGUUUGUAAAUUCUGGAAAUUUCUUUCUAUUCAUAAUAAACUAGAGACUGUUGAUCUUU